UUGUGCAUGUUGUGGUUUGGCUUCAUGGCCUUUCAGUGGCAGCAGGCCACACUUGACAUUACUGCAUUACUAACACUCGUCCGCAGACAUGGGCGUGUGUUGUGGUGUGUUAUUUAACGGUUCUCAGGAAAGCUGUCCUGCCUGACGUCAUGUUUAUCGAGUAUCAGGAAGUAAAACUUGUUUAAAAAACAACAACAACAACAACAAACAGGCGUGCAGUUCCUGUUUUAAGUGUCUAUGCUUACUGCUGACAGAUGAGGACGACAUGAAGAAGCCAGUCUGCUCUCUGUAAGUGCUUCAGCUGUUCAUUCACAUCCUUCAGCAUGAGUUUACAACUGCGCUGCUUAUACACUCACAGAUACAGCUUGGCCUUGGUCAUGACCACUCUGCUACUUGCAGCUGCAUCUGCGAUGAACAUCCAGGCUGUUUUGGGUCACAGCGUUACUUUCAGAUGUCCUUCGAACCACAGCGAACCUGUUGAAGGCUUGUACGUACAGAAAGUUAUAAACAAUAAAGACGAGUACAUCAACGGGUUUUUUUAUAAAG